GACGAACGCUGGCGGCGUGCCUAAUACAUGCAAGUAGAACGCACAGUUUAUACCGUAGCUUGCUACACCAUAGACUGUGAGUUGCGAACGGGUGAGUAACGCGUAGGUAACCUGCCUGGUAGCGGGGGAUAACUAUUGGAAACGAUAGCUAAUACCGCAUAAUAUUAAUUAUUGCAUGAUAAUUAAUUGAAAGGUGCAAUCGCACCACUACCAGAUGGACCUGCGUUGUAUUAGCUAGUAGGUGAGGUAACGGCUCACCUAGGCGACGAUACAUAGCCGACCUGAGAGGGUGAUCGGCCACACUGGGACUGAGACACGGCCCAGACUCCUACGGGAGGCAGCAGUAGGGAAUCUUCGGCAAUGGACGAAAGUCUGACCGAGCAACGCCGCGUGAGUGAAGAAGGUUUUCGGAUCGUAAAGCUCUGUUGUAAGAGAAGAACGGGUGUGAGAGUGGAAAGUUCACACUGUGACGGUAUCUUACCAGAAAGGGACGGCUAACUACGUG
rnacentral:rRNA from 1 species